UUAGGAUGUAAAUUAUUUUAACUUAGGUAGUAUUAGUUAAGGUCUUGAAACUUAAAGAAUUUGGCGGUAUUUUAGUCUAUUUAGAGGAAUCUGUCCCGUAAUUGAUAAUCCGCGUUGUACCUUACCAGAAUUUAUUACAUGUAUACCGCCGUUAAUUUGAGAAUCUUAUUAGGGUUUAAUAAUUUUCUAGAUUUAUUUUUAAAUUUUAUUUCAGGUCAAGGUGCAGUUUGUAUUCAGGUGGAGAUGGAUUACAUUAUAUUUAUUAUUUGGAUUAUUUUUUGUAAUAUUUAAUAUGAAAUUGGAUUUAAUUGUAAAUUUUUGUAGAUUGUUAAAUUGAUUAUAGCUCUAUAAUAUGU
rnacentral:rRNA from 1 species